rnacentral:rRNA from 1 species
GGCUCCUUGUUUACAGUAUAUAAGGAGUCGGACCUGCCCAGUGAAAUUUUUUAACGGCCGCGGUACUCUGACCGUGCAAAGGUAGCAUAAUCAUUUGCCUUAUAAUUGAAGGCUAGUAUGAAUGGUUUGACAAGAGUGUAGCUGUCUCUUUAUAAUUAAACAGAAUUUUAUUUAUAGGUGAAGAAGCCUAUAUUAAAUUAAAAGACAAGAAGACCCUAUCGAGCUUUAAAGAAACUAGUAGACUAAACAAUUAAUGAUACCAGAAAAUCAGCUAUUAGAAAUUUUAGUUGGGGCGACUGAGGAACAAAAAAAGCUUCCUUUAAAAGUUAAAACUAAGCAAGUAUUGAUCCAAAACAUUUUGAUUAAAGGAAUUAGUUACCGUAGGGAUAACAGCAUUAUCUUUUUUGAGAGCUCCCAUCGAAAAAAAGGUUUGUGACCUCGAUGUUGGACCAGAAUAUCCUAAAGAUGCAGCAGUCUUUAAGGGUUGGUCUGUUCGACCAUUAAAAUUCUACGUGAUCUGAGUUCAGACCGGCGUGAGCCAGGUCAGUUUCUAUCUUUAAUUUAAAAAGUAAACUUAGUACGAAAGGACCAGUUUACUGUAAUAUUAAUACUAUAACAUGAUAUUAUAUAAUGUAUGAUUUAAUAUAUCAAAUUAGCAAAAUAAAUGCAAUAGACUUAGGAUCAAUAGAUAUAGGUGAAACUCCUUUAUUUGAUAUGGUGUUAUAAAGGUGGCAGAUGAA